rnacentral:rRNA from 1 species
GCGCGAAACCUCCGCAAUGCGGGAAACCGCGACGGGGGGACCCCGAGUGCCGUGGCAACGCCACGGCUUUUCCGGAGUGUAAAAAGCUCCGGGAAUAAGGGCUGGGCAAGGCCGGUGGCAGCCGCCGCGGUAAUACCGGCGGCCCGAGUGGUGGCCGCUAUUAUUGGGCCUAAAGCGUCCGUAGCCGGGCCCGUAAGUCCCUGGCGAAAUCCCACGGCUCAACCGUGGGGCUUGCUGGGGAUACUGCGGGUCUUGGGACCGGGAGAGGCGGGGGGUACCCCUGGGGUAGGGGUGAAAUCCUAUAAUCCCAGGGGGACCGCCAGUGGCGAAGGCGCCCCGCUGGAACGGGUCCGACGGUGAGGGACGAAGGCCAGGGGAGCAAACCGGAUUAGAUACCCGGGUAGUCCUGGCUGUAAAGGAUGCGGGCUAGGUGUCGGGUGAGCCUCGAGCUCGCCCGGUGCCGUAUGGAAGCCGUUAAGCCCGCCGCCUGGGGAGUACGGCCGCAAGGCUGAAACU